AUGUUAAGGUUUUCAGAAUUUUUCAACAGUACCAUAAAAUGGAAUCGAAUUCUUAUAUUCAAAAAACGGCCACACAAAUACAAUGACCACUAAGAUUUCCAUUUGUGUGCGUGGUCUUCCUGGCACUUUAAUGUUUGGAUAACAGUGAACCACAAGAACGAGCACAUUUAUAGGCGUUGUAAAAUUGUGAAAACUGCAGAGUUCUUAGUGUAGCUCUCACUGUGGUCUUCAUCCACAGUACCUAUCUCCUCCAUGUCUCCGCGGAAGUCGUGGUUUGGAAUGUUGUACAUGGCGGCCAUGUGAAGUGUACGAGGUUGCCUGCCACAUCCUCACUAGAAAACACGUUUAGUUUUCUUUCAAGCGUGUUCGCAAGCAAUAAAACGUCAGUAUAUGUCCCA